CAACGGGAGCUCGGGGCUCUCUCGGGCUCACUCCGCACCCCUCGAGGUGCUGGCGUCUCCGUGAGCGCGGGACGCGCACGUGGCGGGGGCGCUGCCGAAGACGCGGCCGUGUAUUCGUACCAGUUGCACGACGCGCCCGAUACCCGCUAUUGGGGCUGAACUGCCCAUUUCUCGUUUGCCGUGCGCUCUGAUGGAAGCGAUGACGGCAAGGGGCGAGAGGUGACAACUUGAAAGGGGCACUGGGAAGGUGUCCGGAGCAGAGAGCAGUUUCCACCCUGAGAUAGAGUCUCAUUACCCCCCACGUUUCCCUCUCUUCUGCUUGCCCUGCAGGUGACUGCCCCGCACCGCAGCCCCGGUCAUUCCGCACCAAGACAGAAACAUCCGGAGCCCUUCACCUAAAGCACAGUAACGUGGCUACUUUAAAUGUUUUUUGUGUUUCCUCCUUGUCUAUUUUUAAACUCGAGUGUGACCUCUGUUACCAAAGUGAAGUGCAGUCAAAAAUCACCAAACCGAGCUAACCUAGUCGUCCACGUGCAUGGAAACGACUGUGACAAUGCGGAGGGGGGUGGGGGGUGGCGACAUAAGGAUCUAGAGCGAGAUAAAAUAACACUGUGCAUUAAAUAUAGACCUCUUAUGUGAGGGAAAAGCCUGAGCAGCUGUGGCCAUUGUCACAGAAACGACAUAGUUCUCCUUAAGUCAACAUUUUAUCCCAAAACUACAGUAAAAUAUAUUAAAACACUCAACUGGAGGGGCUACAGUCAAUAAUCAUCCCCAUGCAGAAGUCAAGAGGGCAGUUUUUAAGAGAAAAUAAGUGGGUCCCUACGUUUGUUACCAAAUCAUCAAUUUUAAUGGAUGUCCCUGGAUUUAAAGAAGUUUUAGUCCAGCCCCAAAUAUCCUCUUUGGGCAAGAUUCCCAGGACCUCAUUGGAGCAGUUUACAGCCAGUCCCUUCUCACUAUUGACUUCCAUUUUCUGUUGUGGUCCUUAAAGAGACAGAAGUUACACUUCCCAGAAACAACUUUUCUAAACGAAUCAUACUGUUAUACAGAGAUUUAAGUAUUUGUGUGCAUGUGAGAGAAUAUAUAUAAUACAUGUUAUAUAUGUAUAUCUCAUUUCAUUUCCACUGUUCUGCUUCUCUUUUUAAAAAUAAAAUUGUCUCCUCUACUUUGAUCUUUAAACGUUUUAGCAUUGGA